GUUGCUUUAGAAGACAAUCGGUAUUGAUAUAGAAAACAAAAACAAGUGAGGAUACACAUUAACCUAGAAACCGAAAGUGAAAUUAGACAAUCACAAGCACAAUCUAUAUAAUAUAGAGCGGGGCACUAAGCUUGCCACGUGGCACCUCUCAUUAAUGAGGAAAUGUAUUUAUCUUUUUUAUCAAGUUUUUGGGGUUUAACUCUAUUUUUAACACAAUAAAAUCAAUUAUUAUAUGGAAAAAAAAGAGUAAUUGUUUAUUUACAAGUCAAUCGCACCGUCUCCCAAUAAAAAUCUUCACUGCUUCAGUUACAAUGGCGCUAAAAUCAGAGAAUACAUCAACAACCAACAGUAACAAAAAGGAAACAAAUUCAACCCAGUAACCCAUAUGAAAUAAAAACUUCAAUUCCAGUUGCAUUCAAGGAAGAGAAGAAAUCACCAUGGGAGAAGCGAGAAAGAUCUGAAGGCGUUAUGUUGGUUUUCCCAUCCUUCUGCGAAAGUCGUCGGAGCAACAGUGGGAUUUCACUUUUUCAUGUUACAGUCUUGGAUGGAAACAAGUUAACAAAUGAAAGUGUCAUCAAUCAUUGAACAGGUCAUCAAUUGAAGGCUGUAAGAGCUGCGAGGAACAAGUUGCUGCUAAAGAUUUUAGCCCCCAAAAGACCUGUUUUGGUGGAUGCCACUAGUAAAGGUAGAUGGUAUUCAGCAUUGACUUCGUGAAGAUGCAAUGUCACUUAAUCUAACAAGCCAUUUAGAUCAAGAAAUGAGCAUUAUUUGGCUGACUCACCAUCUGAGAAGUAUGAGUAUCAAGCAGAGUUCAGUCGUCUCAUGGGCCUCUCUUAGGGAGCUUAUCAGGCAAGUAUCAGCUAACUUUAUCCUUAAUGUUCGUAUGCCCUGCACUUUUACAUUCCAUCAGUGACUACCUUUGCAAAAGGAAAAAGAUGAAAACAAACUCUUGCCAUAUGAUUGAGAGGAGACGGGGAACAAGGGACAUCUUUGCUGUCUUGGUCACUUAAUCUCUUACUCUUUGAUACAACUUAAGUCAUCCUUUUAUUUUCUGUUUCCUUUUUACAGGUUUAGGCCGAAUGAUCGGUAUAGUCAUUUCGACUCUUUGAAAUUUCUUCUAUUUCUCCGGUUUGUCAGAUUUGCGUUGAUAUCUUUACGGUUUUCUUCUUUAGUCACUUUGUGCUUAGUGUACAUACAAGGAAAAAUAGAUACUUGGUAAAAUUGUGUCCAAGCCCCUUUGACAGCGAGAAGUUCACAAUGACUUUAGUUUCAGAGACUCAAAGAUUAAAGAGAUAAUAUACAUGAGGAGAAAAAUGGAAAGUCAAUUAUGUUUUCUCUUUUAUUUGAGUAUGUAUAAUUAUAUGAUCUGGACACUUAGAUGACAUGGCACGAUUCAGAUGGCUAAUUAAUCCACAUAUGAAAUGUCUGCAGACACGCGCCUCAUGUUUCCCCAAGCCGGUGUGAGAAGUGUCAUAUUGUGGACCACUUGGAGACGGUAUGCGUUCCUUUUUCUCCACGAUUCUUUAAUUGAACAUUGAGCACCUAAUUGCAAUAAGUAAUCUUUUAAUGCUUGUAUUGAAUUAGGUUUUUUUUCAUGAUUAUAUUUCAUUUUUAAUUAGAAAAAUGAGGCAAAUUGUCAAAAAAUUGACAAAAAAGAUAAAUAUCAAUGUUGGCUAUAGAGAGGUGUCACAUCACCUUGUCUAUGUCUAGCUUUAUAUUAUAUAUAGAUUUAGUAUGGCAUAAUAACGUAUUGCCUCCUCUAUAGUAGCUUUAUAAGCUUUCUUUUAUAUUUCAUUUCGAUUGUAACAUGUCAUACUCAUAUUUUUCUUCUAUAAUAUCCACUCUAACUAAUAUGUUGUGUUUUUGUUUUUGCAUCCGCAUUCAUUUUUUCACAUUUUGGUGAUUUAGAGUAUCAACUAUCACAUUUGUAAUUCUUAUCCUAGCCACUGCUUGUAUAGUUUUUGGUUGGUGAUUGUGACAAUAAGACAUGUUUAAUUGCUGCCACUUGACUCAUGCAUUACAACCUUGUGGGAUGUCUUUGUUUUCAUUGUUGUCACAAUUUCACUUCUUUUAUAUAUAUAAUUGAUUGUGAUA